rnacentral:lncRNA from 1 species
UUGGGUCAACAAGAAGUCGAGCAGUGAGUUAAAAAUCAACCCAUAAGCACUCAAAAUCCCCAACUUCAGCCUUUCAAAGUUGACGCACAAACUUUACCUGGAGCACUUUGAUCCUUUGGAUUGAAGGUUGGAGAGUUUUUCAGUUCCGAAGGUGGCAGAAGUUGCUGAUUCAAUAGAAUGGAGCAAUGCGUGUGGCUGAUCCAAGAGGAAGGAGGAUCUGAUGUGUGGUCCUCCUGUCACGAGUACAGAAAAAUCUAGCUCUUUGCCAAGAGUUAAUAUAUUUAUUCAUUUAUUUAUUUGCUUCAUAGGGACUGUUUAAUUGCUGGUAAGUCAAUUACAUAGUUGGCCUUUCAAACAUUAAGUUUCUAAGAGAACAAUUAUGCUAGGUUUACCUUUUCUGUUAUGAUACUAAAAACACUAUUGCGUGCUGUUGGGGGAAAAAUGGAUUGCUCAAAACAACAUGGAUAUAUCGCUGGCACUUGAUGGCGGGCGCAAUGGCGGCAACCCUCAAGGCACCCGACCUCAGCGCGCCCGACCUUAAAGCUUGCAGCCUUGAUCUCGGCUAAGUUGAGCCCGAUCGACCUCAAGCCCUAAGAAGAUCCAGUCAGAGGAAGAAGCAAACCCCUUCACUCCACCGAAAAUCAAGU